UACGUAGGCAGCAAGCGUUGUUCGGAGUUACUGGGCGUAAAGGGCGCGUAGGCGGUGCCACAAGUCACCUGUGAAAUCUCCGGGCUUAACUCGGAGCCUGCAGGCGAAACUGUGGUGCUGGAGUGUGGGAGAGGUGCGUGGAAUUCCCGGUGUAGCGGUGAAAUGCGCAGAUAUCAGGAAGAACACCCGUGGCUAAGGCGGCUCUCUAGUACGGUACUGACGCUGAGACGCGAAAGCGUGGGGAGCGAGCAGG
rnacentral:rRNA from 1 species